rnacentral:rRNA from 1 species
AGAGUUUGAUCCUGGCUCAGAACGAACGCUGGCGGCCGCCGAACACAUGCAAGUCGAACGAUGCCUUCGGGCAUAGUGGCGCACGGGUGCGUAACGCGUGGGAAUCUGCCCUCAGGUACGGAAUAACUCAGGGAAACUUGAGCUAAUACCGUAUAAUGACUUCGGUCCAAAGAUUUAUCGCCUGAGGAUGAGCCCGCGUCGGAUUAGCUAGUUGGUGAGGUAAAGGCUCACCAAGGCGACGAUCCGUAGCUGGUCUGAGAGGAUGAUCAGCCACACUGGGACUGAGACACGGCCCAGACUCCUACGGGAGGCAGCAGUGGGGAAUAUUGGACAAUGGGCGAAAGCCUGAUCCAGCAAUGCCGCGUGAGUGAUGAAGGCCUUAGGGUUGUAAAGCUCUUUUACCCGGGAUGAUAAUGACAGUACCGGGAGAAUAAGCCCCGGCUAACUCCGUGCCAGCAGCCGCGGUAAUACGGAGGGGGCUAGCGUUGUUCGGAAUUACUGGGCGUAAAGCGCACGUAGGCGGCUUUGCAAGUUAGAGGUGAAAGCCCGGGGCUCAACUCCGGAAUUGCCUUUAAAACUGCAUCGCUAGAAUUGUGGAGAGGUAAGUGGAAUUCCGAGUGUAGAGGUGAAAUUCGUAGAUAUUCGGAAGAACACCAGUGGCGAAGGCGACUUACUGGACACAUAUUGACGCUGAGGUGCGAAAGC